rnacentral:rRNA from 1 species
GGUACCGUCAAAUGUAAUGGGUAUUUGCCAUUACACAUUUCUUCCCUAUUGACAGAGCUUUACAACCCUAAGGCCUUCAUCACUCACGCGGCGUCGCUGCAUCAGGGUUUCCCCCAUUGUGCAAAAUUCCUCA